rnacentral:rRNA from 1 species
UACGAAGGGGGCUAGCGUUGCUCGGAAUGACUGGGCGUAAAGGGCGCGUAGGCGGCGGCCCCAGUCAGAUGUGAAAUUCCUGGGCUUAACCUGGGGGCUGCAUUUGAUACGUGGUUGCUUGAGUGGGGAAGAGGGUCGUGGAAUUCCCAGUGUAGAGGUGAAAUUCGUAGAUAUUGGGAAGAACACCGGUGGCGAAGGCGGCGACCUGGUCCUUGACUGACGCUGAGGCGCGAAAGCGUGGGGAGCAAACAGG